AUUUAGCUGACGAGUUUCAAAUAGGAAGAAACGCGCGUCCUGGAU
rnacentral:hammerhead_ribozyme from 1 species